GAUUAACGCUGGCGGCGUGCAUAACACAUGCAAGUCGAACGAUGAAACUUAGUAUACUUCUUCGGAAAGACACUAAGCGGAUUAGUGGCGAACGGGUGAGUAACGCGUGAGUAACCUGACUUACACAAGGGGAUAGCCUUUGGAAACGAAGAAUAAUACCCUAGAAAACUAUAAAAGCACAUGCUAUAAUGGUCAAAGUGAUAGCGGUGUAAGAUGGACUUGCGUCUGAUUAGCUAGUUGGUGAGAUAAAAGCUCACUAAGGCAACGAUCAGUAGCCGGCUGGAGAGAGUGUACGGCCAAAUUGGGAAUGAGACACGGCCCAGACUCCGACAGGAGGCAGGAGUGGGGAAUUAUGCACGAUGGGGUAAACCCGGAUGCAGCGACGCGGCGUGACUUAGAAGGCGUUCGGGUUGUAAAAAGCUUGUGAAGAGGAAGAAAAGGACAGAACUAGACAAAUAAGGCCCGGUAAAUUACGG
rnacentral:rRNA from 1 species